UUAAAAAGUAAAUAAAUUUAUUUGAGUAGUAUUAGUUAUAUUCUUGAAACUAAAAAAAUUUGGCGGUAUUUUAGUCUAUUCAGAGGAACUUGUUUUUUAAUCGAUAAUCCACGAUGUACCUUACUUAAAAUUGUUAAUCAAUCUAUAUAUCGUUGUUAUUAGAAUAUUUUAUAAGAAUAAUAAUUUUCUAUAAUUUUUAUUAAAAUUAAUAUCAAAUCAAGGUGUAGUUUAUUUUUAAGUAUAAAUGAGUUACAAUAAAAUAUAUUUAUGAAUUUAAAUAUGAAAAAUUUAAUGAAAUUGGAUUUGAUAGUAAAAU
rnacentral:rRNA from 1 species